AAAAUAGAAAAUAUUUACAGAUUCUUAUAUACAAAUUUACAUUUCCAAUACUUAUUGAUUACCAUAAUUAUACCAUCAUCUAUAAUUAUAAUCCAACAUUAUCCUUUGUCUCUCUCCCAUCGUUUCUGGAUCCAAUCAUACCACAUGUUCCAACUACUAUAAAAAUCUGAGUCUCUUUUACCCUUGAUCAGUUUUGUAAGUCUAUUGGACUCCACACAUUCCAUGAUUUUAUAAAUUAUUUUUGAGUCCGUUGGUAGAUCCUCAUUCUUCCAUUCUUGUGUGAAUGCCAGUCUCCCUGCAGUGAUUAUGUGCAGCAUCAGAUACCAUUUAGUCAAUCCAAUAUUUACGGGUCUGACCCCCAACAAAAAGGUUUCCAGUUUCAGUUCCACUCUACAGUGUGUAAUUUCAAGCAACCAUCGUCUUUUUUUCAUCCAAUAUUUAGCUGCCAGCGGACAUGUCCACCAUUAGUGGAAGUAGGUUCUGUUGCUAUGCCCACAUUUCCAGCACUGUGAAGAUGUCCCAGGGAACAUUUUAGUUAAUCUUGCUGGAGGUAGGUGCCAUCUAUAAACCAUCUUAUAAAUAUUCUCUUUAUAAGAGGAUGCCAUAGUUAAUUUUAAAUUUUUAAGCCAAAUCUCCCAUUUUUGAAAAUCCAAUGAAUAACCCAUAUUUCGCCCCCAGGCAAUCAUGGAGUCUUUAACGACUUCCCCACUUUCAAUGAUAAUAGGUAAGAAUAGCAUCUCGAUAAAACUUUCCUGUCAUUACCUAAUAAUAUUUUAUCCAAUUCUUGUUUCCCAUGAAACAAGGCAGGCAGCCCUUUCGGAACACCGAAGUGGGGUUCCCUGCCUCCCCCUAUCAUAGACAGUACCCCUAUGGAGGGGACAGAGCACAGGAUAGGUCAGGGUUUUGAGACAGAUCUCGACGGCCACACUCCAGGCGGUCUUACAGGGAUUCAGGGGGACGCCCCUACUGCCGUUCCAAAUGACUCGGGGUCACAAAUCCUGAUUGGCGGCAGGUUAAAGAGGUUUGCUGACCAAUGGAGGGAUACCACCAUGGACGUGUGGGUAUUACAAACAAUAACUCUUGGACUGACCUUAGAAUUUUGUUCCAGACCCCCUCAUCGAUUCCUUCAGUGCCCAGUACCCAGGGAGCCCAAAAAAAGGCCAUGAUGGAGGCCGAGAUCCAGCAUUUGCUGGACAUCAAGGCCAUCGAACCGGUACCAAUUGGACAAAGGGGUUUGGGGUUUUAUUCCGUACUCUUUCUGGUUCCCAAGAGCUCGGGCGGCCAAAGGGCGAUAUUGAAUCUAAAAGACCUCAAUGUUCACAUAAAAUACAAGAGAUUCAAGAUGCAAUCCCUUCAUUCAAUUCUGGGUUGCCUCAGACUAGGAGAUUAUUUAACAUCGAUAGAUCUCAAAGAGGCUUACCUCCAUAUCCCCAUACGGGUAUCUCACAGGAAGUUUCUCAGAUUUGCAUUUGCAGGCCACCAGAGCAAUAUUGGGCUCUCCGAUACUACUGAGGAUUUGGCCUAUCCUCAGCCCCACAUACCUUCACCAAAUUACUGGACGUUGUAGCAACAUGUCUGAGGGCACAUCCCAUCCACCUACAGUGCUAUCUAGACGAUGUGCUGAUCCAGUUACUGUCUCUCAGGCAGGCAGAGUUAGAUCUUCAACUCAAGAUCCAGUCUCUGCAGGACCACGGCUUUUCAGUCAACUGGGAGAAAAGCCAUCUAAUGCCGUCCACCAGACUUACUCAUCUGGGGGCGGUGAUAGACACCCAGUUAUCUCAGGUGUUCCUGUCUCAAGAACAACGGGACUAAGUAUAAAGGACUUAGUGAAACAGGUUCAGACAUCAGUUUCGGUGCCCCUAUUAGUGCUUUCCCAGCUCUUAGGGAAAAUGAUUUCAUGUCUAGCAAUAGUUCCCUGGGCUUGCUUACACGUCAGGCCCUUGCAGUGGCUCCUUCUUCCCAAUCAGAGGUCAGGGCGCAGCAACUCACUGGGCAGGAUCAGGGUUCCUCAACAGAUUCUGCGAUCCCUGGAUUGGUGGAAAUCGAAGGCCAUUGAAGAAGGCUGCUUGUUUCAAGAUCCUCCCAGACUGGUCCUGACAUCGGAUGCGAGUCUAUUCGGCUGGGGAGCACACCUGGGGACCCAGGUGACUCAAGGACAGUGGUCGCAGCAGUGUCAUCACUGCAACGACAUCAAUUGGCUGGAGCUGAGGGCGGCCCAUCUGGCGCUCCAUCAUUUUUGGUCCGAAUUGUCGAAUCAACACAUUCUCCUGUUAACAGACAACAUCACGGCCAAGGCGCAUGUCAACCGCCAAGGGGGCACCCGCUCCAUCCUUCUUAUGGGCGAAGCGAAGAAGAUGUGUCUCUGGGCAGAAUGGCAUCUACUGUCCUUGCGAGCGGAACACAUUGCCGGGACAUCCAACUCGACAGCAGAUUGGUUGAGCCGGAGGACAAUAGAUCAAUCUGAAUGGCGACUUCAUCCGGAGUUAUUCCACCUCAUCAUAGCCCGAUUUGGGACUCCAACCAUGGACUUGUUUGCCACACCUCAGAACACUCACCUGCCUCGGUUCUUCACCCGGUACUGGUCUCCAGCAGCUGAGGGCACCAAUGCUCUUCGUUGUUCAUGGCCACCCGAACUCCUCUACGCCUUUCCUCCCAUUCCUCUGCUCCAGAGGGUGAUCCGGAAAAUUCUGGAGGAGAAGGCAGAGGUGCUGUUAGUCACACCGCAUUGGCCGAGACGUCCAUGGUUUGCAAACCUGGUGUUGCUGUCGAUAACGCCUACCUGGAUAUUACCACCGCACAAGGUAUCCCUCAACCAAGGGGCCCUUCAACAUCCGGAUCCCCAGUGGCUCAAGUUGGCCGCUUGGCGCUUGAGCGGGAGAUUCUUAGGAAGGGAUCCUAUUCACCUGAGGUGAUUUCUACUAUCCUUGCAUCUCGGAAAGUGUCCAUGACCAGGAUUUACGAUGCCACGUGGGCGUCAUUCAGUCGUUGGUGCGCCAAGGAGCAUCUGAUACUGACUUCCGCCACAGUUCCACAGGUCCUGGAGUUCCUGCAGUGAAGCCUGAAGAAGAAAUUAUCAAGUAAUAUGUUUCGGCGACAAGUUGCAGCAUUGGCUACCAUCUUGCCAGGCGAGGGACCUAUCCCUCUUUCUCAGCAUCCCAAGGUCCGUAGCUUUUUAAAGGGAGCUGCCAACCUGUUACCACCGACUGUUCAUAGAUACCCGACCUGGGAUCUAUCCUUGGUUUUACAAGCGCUCACCUUGCCUCCUUUCAAACCGUUGCGGACUACCACGCUUAGACUAUUUACGUUUAAAGUUGUGUUCCUGGUUGCGAUUACAUCUGCACGCAGGAUAUCGAAGUUAGCGGCACUAUCAGUCCGCCAGGAUUUAUGUAUCUUUCACCUGGACAGAGUCAUCUUUAGAUUGGACCCUACCUUUGUGCCAAAGAUAAAUUCAUGGUUCCACAGGGCACAGGAAGUGAUUUUGCCAGACUUUUGCCCCAAUCCAUAACAUCCAAGAGAAAAGCGAUGGCAUACAUUGGAUGUAUGCAGGGCCUUGAAAUGAUACAUUAAACGUAUUGCCUCCUUUAGGAGAACGGAGGCCUUGUUUGUGUCAUUCCAGCCCACUUCGAUGGGGAAGGUGUCUCCAUCCACCAUUGGGCGUUGGCUCAAGGCUUGUAUUGCUCUAGCCUAUGAACAACAAGCUCGUCCAGUGCCACGUCGUAUCACGGCGCACUCUACUCGUAGUGCCGCCACCUCAGCGGCCUGGGCUACACAAGCAUUGAUUCUGGAAAUCUGCAGAGCUGCCACUUGGACUUCCCCUUCACCAUUCGUGAGGAACUACAAGUUGGAUCAGUACGCAUCGGCUGAAGCAGCGUUUGGGAGACGGGUCUUACAGAGAGUCCUGCUGGCCGAGGGGACCCUGGACCAAACUGCUUCCCGCCCAACAUCAUUUUAGCUUGGGUAUAUCCCAUGCUUGGACUCUCCAAGCAGUGCAUAGGAGAAUGAACGUUGGGCUUACCUUGAACGUUCGUACUAUGUGCACUGCAGGAGAGUCCAAUCCCACCCUGGCUGGUACUGGUCCGGGGUCCAGGAGUGGUUGGUUCUUCAAAUGAGCUGCAUCUUUCCUGAUUCAUUGAAAAAACUGAGGCUCGGCUGGAGGAGGAGGGCGUGGCCAAAGAAAUUCCAACUCAGUGAUGUCAGAACAGACUGAAAUUAACCCAUGCUUGGACUCUCCUGCAGUGCACAUAGAACGAACGUUCAAGGUAAGCCCAACGUUCAUUCUCUUUUUUAGGUAAGGAAGUAUCUCUGAAACAAUGACCCAAUGAGGCACAGAUUUUCUAGUAUUUGAACAGAAUGCCAGUGGCUUGGCAUUAGCACCAUUGGUGUUACUAGAAAAUAAAAAUUGCUAACUGUAUUUGGAAGACGUCCAGUUGCCCAGAACAACCUCCAAAGAUAAGCUUAAGGAAUCUGCAACCUGAUAGUUUAUGGAGGGGGCACAAAACAGUUCCUCGGUUUGGAUAUUUUCACCCUGGCAAUCAUUUUGUAAGAAUGCAGGUGAGCCUGCAACUGUGUUUAUUGGCCCUAAAAGAUAAUUCAGCCCUGACAUGACAAGAAUGGGAGCUCAGCAAUUAAUGCAAAAUAUAAUAACUAGGUUAUUAAUUGGAAUUGUAACAGCACCUUCCUAAGGUUAGGAUUAAUUCCCUUCUCAUCAUCCAUUCUUCUACAAAUGGUUUCUAUUUCUAAAAUGUUUUCCAAGAGCUAGGUAAAAGGAACUCUUUUAAAAAACAAAGUUUUAGUGUGGUUUCCUAAAUCAGUAGCAUGAUCCCUGUGAGAUUAUUACAUUAAAAUCAACCAGCCUUAAUCACUUGUGUCCUUAAUCACACCAGUUGCAUCUUAAAAUGUACCUAUCUGGGCAGAACAAUACAGCAAUUGCUUUGAUGUGCCACUGUCUAAAAAUGUAUCUGUUGAAUUUAAUACUUCCUUACUGGAGACCUCAGCUGUGGGAGCCUUUUACAAUUUUCUUUAUCUCCUUGAAAGAAGUAGGGAGAACAACUUAAUUGUUUAAGUGCAUAAUUGCAGAUUAGCUGCAGGACAAUUAAGACCUACUCAGUAAGCUUAAGAAAAAGUCUAAAUUUAUCUUCUUUGAAGUAUUCCUCCUCAGGUAAAUGCUAUUAAGAAUAAUAGCAAACUUACAUUAACAAAAGGGUUUUUUUUGUUCAGCUUUUUCUUAUUGAGAUUUUAUCCUGAUAAAUUGUGUGACCCCAUUUAAAAAAACUCUUGCUAUAAGAUGCUAAGUAAAACCAGAUCGUUAUGGCUUGUUUCACAAAUCAUAGUUUUUGACCUAGUGGUGAAGACACUCACCUCCCACUUGGAAGGUUGAGAGUUCAAGCCUAGGUGUAGCAGCAGGUGUUUCUCUCCUAGGGUGGAAAGAAAAAAAUAUGUUGCAAACUGCAGUCAUCUCGCUGUUUAAGGAAGUUGCACAACAUUCUCAGAGACUCUUCCAAUCCUGCUUUCAAUCUUUUUGGACUGUUGCCUUCUGGCAGAAGAUACAGAACAAUUCAAACUCGGACUGCACGUCUUCUGAAUAGUUUUUAUCCCAGAGCUAUAAUUGCACUCAACAAUGAACUAAAGGGCCACCAUCAGUGAACUGUUGGACAGCAUUACUUGGUCUGCUGUGUGGAUGCUUCGCAUUACCAGGAAUUUCUGAAGAAGAACUGGGGACUCUGCAGUCUUUCUGUGUCAGCAAAAUUAACCAUCUCC